rnacentral:rRNA from 1 species
AUACGUAGGUGGCAAGCGUUGUCCGGAUUUAUUGGGCGUAAAGCGAGCGCAGGCGGUUUCUUAAGUCUGAUGUGAAAGCCCCCGGCUCAACCGGGGAGGGUCAUUGGAAACUGGGAGACUUGAGUGCAGAAGAGGAGAGUGGAAUUCCAUGUGUAGCGGUGAAAUGCGUAGAUAUAUGGAGGAACACCAGUGGCGAAGGCGACUCUCUGGUCUGUAACUGACGCUGAGGCUCGAAAGCGUGGGGAGCAAACAGGAUUAGAUACCCUGGUAGUCCACGCCGUAAACGAUGAGUGCUAAGUGUUGGAGGGUUUCCGCCCUUCAGUGCUGCAGCUAACGCAUUAAGCACUCCGCCUGGGGAGUACGACCGCAAGGUUGAAACUCAAAGGAAUUGACGGGG